rnacentral:rRNA from 1 species
UGGGGAAUUUUGCGCAAUGGGCGAAAGCCUGACGCAGCGACGCCGCGUGUACGAUGAAGGCCUUUGGGUCGUAAAGCACUGUCAACAGGGAAGAUGGGUUCAUAUUUUAAUAGAGUAUGGAUUUGACGGUACCUGUGGAGGAAGCACCGGCUAACUCUGUGCCAGCAGCCGCGGUAAGACAGAGGGUGCAAGCGUUGUUCGGAAUUAUUGGGCGUAAAGCGCGCGUAGGCGGCGAGUUAAGUCGGAUGUGAAAGCCCGGGGCUCAACCUCGGAAGUGCAUCCGAAACUGGCUUGCUUGAAUCUUGGAGGGGGCAGUGGAAUUCCCGGUGUAGAGGUGAAAUUCGUAGAUAUCGGGAGGAACACCAGUGGCGAAGGCGACUGCCUGGACAAUGAUUGACGCUGAGGUGCGAAAGCGUGGGUAGCAAACAGGAUUAGAUACCCCCGUAGUCC